rnacentral:sRNA from 12 species
AGGUGAUGAAGCGGCAGGCUGGUUCAGCAUCAGUCGUUUGUGGAGCCAGGCUAUGGGUUGUGCGAAUACCACAAGCCGAAUAGAUUCAGCGAGUCGAAAGAAAACACAAAGU